UGCAGAGAACUUUCCAGAGAUGGAGUUGGUGCCUUCGGGAACUCUGACACAGGUGCUGCAUGGCUGUCGUCAGCUCGUGUCAUGAGAUGUUGGGUUAAGUCCCGUAACGAGCGCAACCCUUGUCCUUAGUUACCAGCACGUUAUGGUGGGCACUCUAAGGAGACUGCCGGUGACAAACCGGAGGAAGGUGGGGAUGACGUCAAGUCAUCAUGGCCCUUACGGCCUGGGCUACACACGUGCUACAAUGGUCGGUACAAAGGGUUGCCAAGCCGCGAGGUGGAGCUAAUCCCAUAAAACCGAUCGUAGUCCGGAUCGCAGUCUGCAACUCGACUGCGUGAAGUCGGAAUCGCUAGUAAUCGUGAAUCAGAAUGUCACGGUGAAUACGUUCCCGGGCCUU
rnacentral:rRNA from 1 species